AUUAAGGUCUAUCCCAAUGGGGCUUUUUCUGUAAAUCUAUAUCAUUGGAAGUGUCUCAUAGAGUAACUAUGUGGUUUCCUUUACUCAUAGAACUACCUAUCUGUUAGAUCUGUGGGAAAGAACUACAAGAUAGAG